GACGAACGCUGGCGGCGUGCCUAAUACAUGCAAGUAGAACGCUGAAACUUGGUGCUUGCACCGAGCGGAUGAGUUGCGAACGGGUGAGUGACGCGUAGGUAACCUGCCUGGUAGCGGGGGAUAACUAUUGGAAACGAUAGCUAAUACCGCAUAAGAGUAGAUGUUGCAUGACAUUUGCUUAAAGGUGCAAUUGCACCACUACCAGAUGGACCUGCGUUGUAUUAGCUAGUUGGUGGGGUAACGGCUCACCAAGGCGACGAUACAUAGCCGACCGGAGAGGGUGGUCGGCCACACUGGGACGGGGACACGGCCCAGACGCCUACGGGAGGCAGCAGUAGGGAAUCUUCGGCAAUGGACGGAAGUCUGACCGAGCAACGCCGCGUGAGUGAAGAAGGUGCUCGGAUCGUAAAGCUCGGUUGUAAGAUAAGAACGAGUGUGAGAGGGGAAAGUUCACAUUGUGACGGUAUCUGACCAGAAAGGGACGGCUAACUACGUG
rnacentral:rRNA from 1 species